UUCCGUAGGGGGACCUGCGGAAGGAUCAUUACCUAGAGUUGUAGGCUUUGCCUGCUAUCUCUUACCCAUGUCUUUUGAGUACCUUACGUUUCCUCGGUGGGUUCGCCCACCGAUUGGACAAAUUUAAACCCUUUGCAGUUGAAAUCAGCGUCUGAAAAAACUUAAUAGUUACAACUUUCAACAACGGAUCUCUUGGUUCUGGCAUCGAUGAAGAACGCAGCGAAAUGCGAUAAGUAGUGUGAAUUGCAGAAUUCAGUGAAUCAUCGAAUCUUUGAACGCACAUUGCGCCCCUUGGUAUUCCAUGGGGCAUGCCUGUUCGAGCGUCAUUUGUACCUUCAAGCUCUGCUUGGUGUUGGGUGUUUGUCUCCUGUAGACUCGCCUCAAAACAAUUGGCAGCCGGCGUAUUGAUUUCGGAGCGCAGUACAUCUCGCGCUUUGCACUCAUAACGACGACAUCCAAAAGUACAUUUUUACACUCUUGACCUCGGAUCAGGUAGGGAUACCCGCUGAACUUAAGCAUAUCAAAAGGCCGGAGGAA
rnacentral:rRNA from 1 species